CCUACGGGGGCUGCAGUGGGGAAUAUUGGACAAUGGGCGAAAGCCUGAUCCAGCCAUGCCGCGUGUGUGAAGAAGGCCUUCGGGUUGUAAAGCACUUUCAGUGGGGAAGAAAGCCUUGGGGCUAAUACCCUCGAGGAAGGACAUCACCCACAGAAGAAGCACCGGCUAACUCCGUGCCAGCAGCCGCGGUAAUACGGAGGGUGCGAGCGUUAAUCGGAAUUACUGGGCGUAAAGCGCGCGUAGGCGGUCUGAUAAGCCGGUUGUGAAAGCCCCGGGCUCAACCUGGGAACGGCAUCCGGAACUGUCAGGCUAGAGUGCAGGAGAGGAAGGUAGAAUUCCCGGUGUAGCGGUGAAAUGCGUAGAGAUCGGGAGGAAUACCAGUGGCGAAGGCGGCCUUCUGGACUGACACUGACGCUGAGGUGCGAAAGCGUGGGUAGCAAACAGGAUUAGAUACCCCUGUAGUC
rnacentral:rRNA from 1 species